CUACCCUUGACAUGUCCGGAAGCCUGCUGAAAGGCGGGUGUGCCCGAAAGGGAACUGGAACACAGGUGCUGCAUGGCUGUCGUCAGCUCGUGUCGUGAGAUGUUGGGUUAAGUCCCGCAACGAGCGCAACCCUUGUCCUUAGUUGCUACGCAAGGGCACUCUAAGGAGACUGCCGGUGACAAACCGGAGGAAGGCGGGGAUGACGUCAAGUCCUCAUGGCCCUUAUGGGUAGGGCUUCACACGUCAUACAAUGGACGGUACAGAGGGUCGCCAACCCGCGAGGGGGAGCCAAUCCCGAUAAAGCCGUUCGUAGUCCGGAUUGCAGUCUGCAACUCGACUGCAUGAAGUCGGAAUCGCUAGUAAUCGCGGAUCAGCAUGCCGCGGUGAAUACGUUCCC
rnacentral:rRNA from 1 species